CAAUAGUAGAGGGGCAUAUUUUUUUUUGGUCUGUGGAACAGUUUGUUUGUCAGUUUGUCUGUCUGUUCCACUUUCAUGUUCAAGUUUUUGAUUAAUUUUUAGUUCAAUCAACUUGAAACUUAGUACAAUGUACACAUGUUCCUUACAAUAUGAUCUUUCUAAUGUUAAUGCCAAAUUAGAGUUUUUAUCCCAAUUUCACAGUCGAAUGAAAAUAAGAUUCUAAGUGUGAGUGGGGCAUCUGUAUACUAUGGACACAUUCUUGUUCUUUUGCUUUAUAAAGAAUCACAUAUUUUGUACUUUUCAUCUUCCUGUAUUUGAUCUUAUUUCUUCAAACAGGAAAUUUCCUUGAUUUUUGAUGUAAGAGUGCUCGAAACAAUAAAUGCCUUGAUUGAAAAAUGUUAAUUUUACUAUUGAUGCUCUCAAC
rnacentral:lncRNA from 1 species